rnacentral:rRNA from 1 species
UACGGAGGGUGCAAGCGUUAUCCGGAUUCACUGGGUUUAAAGGGUGCGUAGGUGGGCAGGUAAGUCAGUGGUGAAAUCUCCGGGCUUAACCCGGAAACUGCCGUUGAUACUAUCUGCCUUGAAUAUCGUGGAGAUGAGCGGAAUAUGUCGUGUAGCGGUGAAAUGCUUAGAUAUGACAUAGAACACCGAUUGCGAAGGCAGCUCGCUGGACGGUUAUUGACGCUGAGGCACGAAAGCGUGGGGAGCAAACAGG